UACGUAGGGGGCGAGCGUUGUCCGGAUUUAUUGGGCGUAAAGAGCUCGUAGGCGGUUGCGGAAGUCGGGUGUGAAAUACCGGGGCUCAACUCCGGGGCGCCAUUCGAUACUCCGCUGACUCGAGUCCGGUAGGGGAAGGUGGAAUUCCUGGUGUAGCGGUGAAAUGCACAGAUAUCAGGAGGAACACCGGUGGCGAAGGCGGCCUUCUGGGCCGGUACUGACGCUGAGGAGCGAAAGCUAGGGGAGCGAACAGG
rnacentral:rRNA from 1 species